rnacentral:rRNA from 1 species
GAUGAACGCUGGCGGCGUGCCUAAUACAUGCAAGUCGAGCGAACGGACGAGAAUCUUGCUUCUCUGUUGUUAGCGGCGGACGUGUGAGUAACACGUGUAUACCCCACCUAUAAUAGUGGUAUCACUUCGGGAAACCGGAUCUUACCCCGGAUGAUCUCCUGAACCGCAUUGUUCAAAGGUGAAAGACGGUCUUUCUGUCACUUAUCGCUGGAUCCGCGCUGCAUUAGCUAGUUGUUAAGGUAACGGCUUACCAAGGCGACGAUGCAUAGCCGACCUGAGAGGCGGAUAGGCGGCACUGGAGGGGAACCGCGGUCCAGACGACUAAGAGAGGCAGCAGUAGGGAAUCGUCCGCAACGGGCGAAAGCCUGACGGAGCGACGCGGCGUGAGUGAUGAAGGUCUUCGGAUCGUAAAGCUCUGUUAUUAGGGAAGAACAGAUGUGUAAGUAACUGUGCACAGAUUGACGGUAACUAGUCAGAAAGCCACGGCUAACUACGUG